AUCUUCUUUGUGACAGCACAGCCUUCCCUGCUAACCCCUGGGCUCUGGAGCAGGGCUCAGCCAGCACUGCCUGCAGUGUCCAGGCAGGACACCAGCCCAUGGUGGCACCUUUUCCAUGGGGAACAUCCUCCUGCUCCUGCCCCCUCCAUCUGUGAAAAGCCCUGUGUUCUCCCAGGCAGACACCACAGCUGAUGGAGACAGACUUCACCCUGCCCUGGGCACCCCCAGACCACUCACUGUGGGCAGAGUUAUGGAAGUUUCUGCCGUUUCUGCCUAGGAAGAAACCUGGAGGACAUGAGGAAAGCAAAUCAAACCAAUGAAACCAAGAGGACUUUGUUGUUCAAUGACAGCAAAAUGAGAGAAACUCUGAACCUGUGGGCUGAUCCCUCUGAACUGCCGGCCAAAGUGAAAACCCCAGCCCUGGUGCAAUCAGGGAGCACCAAGAAGAUGUCUCCAGGAUUUCUGUCAGAGCAGGGGACUGGACCAUAUCCUUGGUGCUUGCUCUAGGGGGGACAGGCACCCCUUCCCAAGGAGCCACAACCUUCAUUUUUAGUACCAGCUGUGCUUAAAUAAUUCCAGGCUGGACAACUACAGACAUGGAACUGGAGGAGGAGAGGGCAGGAAAGCCCCAGGAAGGCUGGAGCACGAGUGUCACCAGGAGCAGCUGCGGGAGCUGGGAGCGUUUAGCCCAGAGAAAAGGAGGCUCAGGGCAGACCUUAUCUACAGCCAGCUGAAAGGAGGCUGUGGCAAGGCUGGGGUCAGCCUCUUCCCACAAGAAGCAAGUGAUAGUUCCAGAGAAGAUGGCCUCGGGCUGCACCAGAGGAGGCUUAGAUAGGAGGAAAAAUUUCUUAACUGGAAAGGCUGUAAAGCAUUGGAACAGGCUGCCCAGGGAUGUGGUGGAGUCCCCACACCUGGAGCUCCAGCUGCAAACAGCUUCAGGACAUCGCUGGUGGAAAACUUCUCAACCCUGCCAGACCACCCUGGGACAUUUUGCUGGGCAGCCACACAAAGAAAAAGGGGCUGUGGUUGGGGUUUGACAAUACACCCUGUACUGGCUGCUACAUGAGGUGUUGCCAAGAAAAACCCAAGGCCCCUUCAUGUCUCCUUAGCAGAAGAGAUACUGCUGGUCAGCAGAAAUGAGGGAAAAUGGGAAGCUCUGGCUCUGGGCCCCAGCACAAGAGCCCUGCUCUACAAGCUGAGUGCAGUGACAUAGGGAUGUCAUUGAAAUAGCCUUCUUGGAUGGUAAAGGCACUGAAAUGGGGAGGAGUAACAUCUCCUAGCAGCAGAACCAGAGAGCAGCUUGCCUGGGCUCUGCUGCAGCAGCUGCACAGCACAUGGAGGGACCUUCUGUGCAGCCACAGGCUAUGGGCUCCAGGCAAGGCCCCACCAGCAUCUCCAAGAAGGGAUUGUCCAUGAGGCUCUGGGUGCAGCUUUCUGUUAAACUCUGUCUCCUCUGUCAAUCAAAAGUCCAUGUGUGUCCUACAACAUCCUCUCCCUGCUUGCAAG